AGAAAGGUUUUUUUAAAAACUACUUAAAGCACAAAAAUUUGAAUGU
rfam:Xenopus tropicalis strain Nigerian Chr04_contig_2339, whole genome shotgun sequence.